rnacentral:rRNA from 1 species
ACACAUGCAAGUCGAACGGCAGCAUGAUCUAGCUUGCUAGAUUGAUGGCGAGUGGCGAACGGGUGAGUAAUACAUCGGAACGUGCCCUGUAGUGGGGGAUAACUAGUCGAAAGAUUAGCUAAUACCGCAUACGACCUGAGGGUGAAAGUGGGGGACCGCAAGGCCUCAUGCUAUAGGAGCGGCCGAUGUCUGAUUAGCUAGUUGGUGGGGUAAAGGCCCACCAAGGCGACGAUCAGUAGCUGGUCUGAGAGGACGAUCAGCCACACUGGGACUGAGACACGGCCCAGACUCCUACGGGAGGCAGCAGUGGGGAAUUUUGGACAAUGGGGGCAACCCUGAUCCAGCAAUGCCGCGUGUGUGAAGAAGGCCUUCGGGUUGUAAAGCACUUUUGUCCGGAAAGAAAUCGCACUUACUAAUAUUAGGUGUGGAUGACGGUACCGGAAGAAUAAGGACCGGCUAACUACGUGCCAGCAGCCGCGGUAAUACGUAGGGUCCAAGCGUUAAUCGGAAUUACUGGGCGU